ACCAAUCGUAUUUGGAUUUGUGUGCUUCUUCUUCACCACCGAUCCAGACUGGCCCAUUUUCUACUUGCUCUAGGUAUGUUUCCUUGCUCGCGUUCUGACCUCCAUUGCCUCCUCUCACUUCCAACAUCCUUGCUAUCUGCCGGCUUCCGCAUUUCUUCUUCGAUUUCAUCUGCCGCAAUCUCCAGUAACACCACCUUUACCACAGACUCCGUCGGUUGUUUGUAGAGAGCACCAAUGGUUGCAGUCUUUGGAUUACUGGACAUUUCUUUCUGAUGAAUGCCUUCUCUUUUCAAUUUUGUUGAAGUUAGAGUUUAUGACAAUGCAACAAUCGACGAUGAUGGCUACAUCCUGAUGAAUUUAUCAAUCUGAGCCUUAUUCUCUUUUUUGUUUUCAAUUAUGGAAUCCACAGUCGAUUCACUGAAAUCGAUCAUCAACACCCACAAUAUCAUUCAGUAUUCAACAAGAGUGUCAAUUUCCAGUUCAAAAUUGCUUCCCAAUUAUACACUCUCUCUUGCCGACCGUGUAGCCUCCGCAAACCCACCAACACUCCAUCAUCAUCUACUUCUUCCGGACUGGGUUUCGUCUGAACUAUAGUGGCUCAAAGAGCUUAUAAUAUGAACCUACUUCAAAUAACUGAAUUCGGAAAACCCUGAAAAGGGAGAAGGCUUAUUAACUGUAACCGGUGACUUGGCUCCAUUUUUAGGUAUAUUGUUUGUCUUAAUAAUUGUUUACUGUUUAGGUCUUUAUAAAAUUAUAAUUAUGAAGUUAGGACUUUGUUUGUGAAAUAAAUUUGUUAAUUUGGUAUGGAUAAUUCAUUAUUGAAUAUUUAUUUCCAUUGCUUUAUGUGAUAACUUAUCGAUUUGAUCGACUUCAAUUCAUUCAAUCACGAGUUUCAAUCAGCUCAAUUAGGAGUUAAAGUGUGGUUUACAUGAGGAGAUACUUCUAUCCUUUAACUAGCUUCCAAAUUGGGUAUGAACUUUUGCUUUACCAUAUCAAAUGCACUUGAUUUAGCAAUGUUCAGUUUGGAAUUGUGAUUUAUGUUUGGUUAAUCAGACCUCUUUUAAAACUAAUUAACUUUGUGUGUUGAACCAUUUGUUUUCUGAUGAACUUCUUGAUCUAGAUAGAUUAGUACGAAUGAUCUCAGUUGAGUUAUAUUUUUAUAGCUUUUGGGUUUGUUAAAGAUUUGUUUUAUUUUUUUAAUGUAUUUUUCUUUUCAUGUUAUAUAAUUAUGAGGUGAUGGAAUUUAUCUGAGGAAAAGAUGACUUCUUCAUAUGACUUUUCAACCAAAUGCAAUUAAGUUACACGAACAAUAGGUUAUUGAAAGAAAGUACAGAGACCACCCAUGGAUGAUGAUGAUGAUACCGGAUAUUAAAAUCCAGUUUCUGUUUCUGCCAACAUUUUAUUUAUGUGGGUGGAUGGAUUGGGGAAUGUGCAUGGUAGAGUUCAACCACCAAAUGCUAGCAACAGGGCUCUUCUAAUCGGUUCUCAUUUGUUUUCCCUUUCUAUCUUAAGUAUUUUUGUUCCUAAGUGGUGGAGUUCUUUUUCCUCUCUCAACAAGAUACUAUUGUUGAUACUGAUGAUCAAGAGCCAUGGACGUUGAUGGGAUUUUAUGCUUCUCCUAUGGUGUAUGCACAUACUAAUUUGGUUAUAAAUGAGUCUCUAGACAAGAGAUGGAAUGUUGUAAGUG